rnacentral:tRNA from 2 species
GGAGAGAUGGCAGAGUGGUCGAAUGCGGCGGCCUCGAAAACCGUUAAUAGGGCAACUUAUUCGGGGGUUCGAAUCCCCCUCUCUCCGCCA